GUUUGUAUUGCAGCCUUGUAAGAGAACCCGUCGACAUUCCUCAGGCCAGAGGGGCACCUUCAGAAGUCACAUCUCGCUAUAACAGACAGGGCUUUAGGUUGACAUCGAAGGCCUAAUCGUUUCUCAUGGCGAUAAGCCGAAAGCACCACCGAUCAGCCAGCAGAGGUCGGAAUUGCAGCAGUUAUGAGGAAUCUCUUUCAGCAACCCCAAGCUUCAGACAAGCCAUUCAUUGUCUGUAUAGGCGCCCGGCCUGAGGAUGAUGUAAAUGCGGCCCAUCUGGACAAAUUUCAUCUAAACAUAAGUUAACCAGGCUGCACGUCUUUGAACUGUGGGAGGAAACCGGAGCUCCUGGAAGAAACCGACACAGAGACGGGGAGAACAUGCAAACUCCACACAGAAAGGACCCAGACCGCUCCAUCUGACAAUCAAACCCAGGAAAUUCUUGCUGCGAGGUGACAGUGCUACCCACUGAGCCACCGUGCCGGUGCCACCCAGCAUAUUUACAAAAAACCUACAAAAGAACCUAAAUUUUUGAGGUCCUGUACACCAGCAUACGUUAAAGCUCCUAUAAUGGGGAUCAAGAAUGCAUGUUAACAUCAGUGAGUUAUUUUCAGGAAAUGAGGACACACUCGCCCCUCUCUGUAUCUUUCCCAGCUCUUACUUUGUCAGCAGCAUAACAAUGACACUUCACCUCACUAGGGGGUCAGGACAGCAGGACUUCAGAGAGACAUAAUACCCCAAAAAUAUUCUGAGAGACUGUUAAUAAAGUUUUUAUUUAAUCAA